AGGUCAAAGAUGGCCUCUAUUUAUACGCUAUCGCUUGGAGACGGGCUUAUGCACCAUCAGCUAGUUGGUAAGGUAACGGCUUACCAAGGCUUUGACGGUUAGCUGAUCUGAGAGGUUGAUCAGCCACACUGGAACUGAGACACGGUCCAGACUCCUACGGGAGGCAGCAGUAGGGAAUAUUGCGCAAUGGAGGAAACUCUGACGCAGCGACGCCGCGUGGGUGAUGAAGGUUUUCGGAUUGUAAAGCUCUGUCGGGCGGGACGAACAAGUAGUCGGCUAAUACCCGAUUACUCUGACGGUACCGCCAAAGGAAGCACCGGCUAACUUCGUGCCAGCAGCCGCGGUAAUACGAGGGGUGCAAGCGUUGCUCGGAAUUAUUGGGCGUAAAGGGUAGGUAGGUGGUCUCAUUUGUCUGCGGUGAAAGCCUUGGGCUUAACUCAAGAAGUGCCGCAGAAACGGUGAGACUGGAGUACUGGAGAGGGUCGUGGAAUUCCCGGUGUAGCGGUGAAAUGCGUAGAGAUCGGGAGGAACACCAGAGGCGAAGGCGGCGACCUGGACAGUUACUGACACUCAACUACGAAAGCGUGGGGAGCAAACAGGAUUAGAUACCCUGGUAGUCCACGCUGUAAACGAUGGGUACUAGGUUUGGCGGGUCUUGACCCCUGCCGAACCGCAGCUAACGCAAUAAGUACCCCGCCUGGGAAGUACGGUCGCAAGACUAAAACUCAAAGGAAUUGACGGAAUCGA
rnacentral:rRNA from 1 species